GUGGGUGUGGUGUAGGGUACACACCUGUGAAGUGUCAUCGGCAUCCGCAAUACUCAGCAGGCAGAACCGGGUUCGAGUCCCGGCACCCACA